rnacentral:rRNA from 1 species
CCAAUAGCGUAUAUUAAAGUUGUUGCAGUUAAAAAGCUCGUAGUUGAAUUUCGGGAUCAAUACGUCGGUCGUGCUUCGGUACGUACUGGCAUCAUUGAUUUCUCCCUUCUGACGAACCAUGAUGUCAUUAACUUGGUGUCAUGGGAAAUCAGGACUGUUACUUUGAAAAAAUUAGAGUGUUUAAAGCAGGCUCACGCUUGAAUACAUUAGCAUGGAAUAAUGAAAUAGGACGUUCGAUCCUAUUUUGUUGGUUUUUAGGAUCAACGUAAUGAUUAAUAGGGAUAGUUGGGGGCAUUAGUAUUCAAUUGUCAGAGGUGAAAUUCUUGGAUUUAUUGAAGACUAACUACCGCGAAAGCAUUUGCCAAGGAUGUUUUCAUUAAUCAAGAACGAAAGUUAAGGGAUCGAAGACGAUCAGAUACCGUCGUAGUCUUAACCAUAAACUAUGCCGACUAGGGAUCGGAUGAUGUUAAUUUUUUAAUGACUCAUUCGGCGCCUUACG